GAUGAACGCUGGCGGCGUGCUUAACACAUGCAAGUCGAACGAUAAAGCCCAGCUUGCUGGGUGGAUUAGUGGCGAACGGGUGAGUAACACGUGAGUAACCUGCCCUUGACUCUGGGAUAAGCCCGGGAAACUGGGUCUAAUACCGGAUAGGAGCGCCUGUCGCAUGACGGGUGUUGGAAAGAUUUUUCGGUCAUGGAUGGACUCGCGGCCUAUCAGCUUGUUGGUGAGGUAAUGGCUCACCAAGGCGACGACGGGUAGCCGGCCUGAGAGGGUGACCGGCCACACUGGGACUGAGACACGGCCCAGACUCCUACGGGAGGCAGCAGUGGGGAAUAUUGCACAAUGGGCGGAAGCCUGAUGCAGCGACGCCGCGUGAGGGAUGACGGCCUUCGGGUUGUAAACCUCCUUUUCAAGUAGGGAAAGAAAGCGAAAAGG
rnacentral:rRNA from 1 species